UACGCAGGUGGCAAGCGUUGUCCGGAAUUAUUGGGCGUAAAGCGCUCGCAGGCGGUCUUUUAAGUCUGAUGUGAAAGCCCACGGCUCAACCGUGGAGGGUCAUUGGAAACUGGAGGACUUGAGUACAGAAGAGGAGAGUGGAAUUCCACGUGUAGCGGUGAAAUGCGUAGAGAUGUGGAGGAACACCAGUGGCGAAGGCGACUCUCUGGUCUGUAACUGACGCUGAGGAGCGAAAGCGUGGGGAGCGAACAGG
rnacentral:rRNA from 1 species